AGGUAAGCUACUAAGAGCGAAUGGUGGAUGCCUUGACUGGUAAAGGCGAUGAAGGACGUACUAGACUGCGAUAAGCUACGGGGAGCUGUCAAGAAGCUUUGAUCCGUAGAUUUCCGAAUGGGGCAACCCAAUGUAUAGAGAUAUACAUUACCUAUAUAGGAGCGAACGAGGGGAAUUGAAACAUCUUAGUACCCUCAGGAAAAGAAAUCAAUAGAGAUUGCGUCAGUAGCGGCGAGCGAAAGCGCAAGAGGGCAAACCCAGUGCUUGCACUGGGGGUUGUAGGACUGCAAUGUGCAAGAGGUGAGUUUAGCAGAACAUUCUGGAAAGUAUAGCCAUAGAGGGUGAUAGUCCCGUAUGCGAAAAACAAACCUUAGCUAGCAGUAUCCUGAGUAGGGCGGGACACGAGAAAUCCUGUCUGAAGCUGGGUCGACCACGAUCCAACCCUAAAUACUAAUACCAGAUCGAUAGUGCACAAGUACCGUGAGGGAAAGGUGAAAAGAACUGAGGUGAUCAGAGUGAAAUAGAACCUGAAACCAUUUGCUUACAAUCAUUCAGAGCCCUAUGUAGCAAUACAGGGUGAUGGACUGCCUUUUGCAUAAUGAGCCUGCGAGUUGUGGUGUCUGGCAAGGUUAAGCAAACGCGAAGCCGUAGCGAAAGCGAGUCUGAAUAGGGCGCUUAGUCAGAUGCUGCAGACCCGAAACGAAGUGAUCUAUCCAUGAGCAAGUUGAAGCUAGUGUAAGAACUAGUGGAGGACUGAACCCAUAGGCGUUGAAAAGCCCCGGGAUGACUUGUGGAUAGGGGUGAAAGGCCAAUCAAACUUCGUGAUAGCUGGUUCUCUCCGAAAUAUAUUUAGGUAUAGCGUUGUGUCGUAAUAUAAGGGGGUAGAGCACUGAAUGGGCUAGGGCAUACACCAAUGUACCAAACCCUAUCAAACUCCGAAUACCUUAUAUGUAAUCACAGCAGUCAGGCGGCGAGUGAUAAAAUCCGUCGUCAAGAGGGAAACAACCCAGACUACCAGCUAAGGUCCCUAAAUCUUACUUAAGUGGAAAACGAUGUGAAGUUACUUAAACAACCAGGAGGUUGGCUUAGAAGCAGCCAUCCUUUAAAGAAAGCGUAAUAGCUCACUGGUCUAGUGAUUUUGCGCGGAAAAUAUAACGGGGCUAAAGUAAGUACCGAAGCUGUAGACUUGCGCACAACUUAGAUUAUUUAAGUUUAGAAUAUGAGAAACUAAGUUAUAUAUUUAGUUAUAUUUUUACUGAUUUUUAUAGAGUAAAGAUAGAAAUAAAACUUAGUAAAAUCAGUAAAAAUAUUCUUAGACUAAAGUUAAGUAGUUUAAGUUGUGUGCAAGUGGUAGGAGAGCGUUCUAUUUGCGUCGAAGGUAUACCGGUAAGGAGUGCUGGAGCGAAUAGAAGUGAGCAUGCAGGCAUGAGUAGCGAUAAUUAAUGUGAGAAUCAUUAACGCCGUAAACCCAAGGUUUCCUACGCGAUGCUCGUCAUCGUAGGGUUAGUCGGGUCCUAAGUCGAGUCCGAAAGGGGUAGACGAUGGCAAAUUGGUUAAUAUUCCAAUACCAACAUUAGUGUGCGAUGGAAGGACGCUUAGGGCUAA
rnacentral:rRNA from 1 species